GAUGAACGCUGGCGGCGUGCCUAAUACAUGCAAGUCGAGCGAAUGGAUUAAGAGCUUGCUCUUAUGAAGUUAGCGGCGGACGGGUGAGUAACACGUGGGUAACCUGCCCAUAAGACUGGGAUAACUCCGGGAAACCGGGGCUAAUACCGGAUAACAUUUUGAACCGCAUAGUUCGAAAUUGAAAGCCGGCUUCGGCUGUCACUUAUGGAUGGACCCGCGUCGCAUUAGCUAGUUGGUGAGGUAACGGCUCACCAAGGCAACGAUGCGUAGCCGACCUGAGAGGGUGAUCGGCCACACUGGGAUUGAGACACGGCCCAGACUCCUACGGGAGGCAGCAGUAGGGAAUCUUCCGAAAUGGACGAAAGUCUGACGGAGCAACGCCGCGUGAGUGAUGAAGGCUUUCGGGUCGUAAAACUCUGUUGUUAGGGAAGAACAAGUGCUAGUUGAAUAAGCUGGCACCUUGACGGUACCUAACCAGAAAGCCACGGCCAACUACGUGCCAGCAGCCGCCGUAA
rnacentral:rRNA from 1 species